GAUACCUUUCCUUUGCUCAAAAAGCAAGAUCGGCUGACCAUCUGAUUGGCAUCAGGAAAAGCCAAUCGACUAAAUGGAAACCAUAAGAGGAGGAGAGCACGUUCUCCAAGCACUGCCUUGAUUUGUCCUCCUUCCUUCCUUGGAGUGAGUUGAUUGGCCCUCAUUUUUUGAUUUCCUGAUUGUGCCCCACCCAUAGUUCAAAUUUGCCUCCCACAGAACUCAUCACUCACCAAAGUGUGGCUUUUCUUGUGAACCCCAAACCAAGCAAGUGAAGCAGCAAGCCAGACAGCAAUCAACUUGGGAAGAUUGUCUUUCCAACUCCAUCCUUCCUACAUCAGUUCCUCAGUGAUGGCAGCGGCUGGAGAUUGGGAUGGUGAGAGUCAAGAACAGACCAGUGAAGCGGAAAUAUGCCUUUUCAAGCCUGUUGUCACCACUUGCCCUGGCAGACUGGACGUGCUUUGCUGCAGAAACAUACUGGAUGAUAAAGCACGCACGUUUCUACCGGAGGACAGCCAUGAUUUUUGGACACAUUUUGAGAACAAAGGAGAGGACACUGAGUGGGGGCCAUUGCAGACGGGAAUGCGGGACAAACUGGUUUGGGCCCAUUCUGUGUGUGCCGGUGCCUAUGGAAGUUGGGGGUCCAUUGAUGAUGCAGCCGUGCAGUCUGUGGGAACUUUUGCCCCCAGCCAUGCCUUCACUCAAGAUGGCCGGAGGCGGGAAUGGCACUACUCCCCUACGGCGUCCCUGACGCGUGUCACCCUGCAAGGAUGUUUCUUUCGCAGAUCAGCCUCUGGAUUCGAGGCCCCUGCUCGGUUUGACUAUGGCACGAUCUAUGGAUUUAUGCCUGGGUGCAUUCACCUAUCUCGCAAAUUCACUGUGCCAAUUUUCUACUGCGACCCCUUGAGCCAGCCUUUGUUUCGGAGAACCACCGGGGUGAUGGUGGGGUGGCCAUUGUGGGCUCACAAGACAAAGGGGGUUUUGGGGUGCGUGUACCCUAAGAACUCUCUCCAGCUUUGUUUUGUGCAAUGGGAUCAGAAAGGUCCCCCGACCCUGAAAAAUCUUGCUGCUGCCGCCUAUCUCACCAGCCAUCCAAAGCCCCGGCACAAUCUGGACAUUCCCGCUGUGGUUCAAGAACUUCUGGUCCAGUUCAAUGCCUGCGAGAUCGGCCGCCCAUUAUGCCCAAUGUGUGAAAACCCACCUGACUUUGGACAUACAAGACCCCUUGCCCUGUCCUAUACCCCUUACUGAACUGUUUCUAUCCCAUGGCCAGCACUGUAGCGACCUCGUGAGGUCUCUGGAGGGGGGAACUACUGACAGUAUAUAUCAGCCCAAGGGAAGCCAGAGACCUUGGAACCAUGCAGUUUCCCUCCAAUGCACCCAGGGGUGCUGGACCUUAAGCACUGUAGAACUUUUCUUGCUCAAAAGGCACACACCCCUCUGCCAGCAAACAGUGGGGACUUAUGGGAACAGUUUCAGAACCUCAGGGGGGUCAGCCAAACUUUCUGGGGGUCCCCUACAAAUGGGAUACACAAUGAUCUUGGAGCUGAAUAUCACACCAUGUGUCAGUCCAUGUAUGGGAGAUGGGGGCCUAUCAGGAAAGUCAUUAGGCAAUCUAUUGGCCUCUACUCCUCCAGUCAUCGGAAAAUGGACACACACGUUUCAAGGAAGAGACCUUGGCUAUAUGCCCCAACUGCCUCCUUGACACACAUUGUGCUGCGUGGAUGCUUCCUUAAAAGCAGUUGCCCACAGCAGAGCACCCCUCACUUUGGGGACAGUACCAUCGUUGCUUUUAUACCAGGAUAUAUCCAUUUGACAAAACACUUUGACAUUCCUAUUUUCUAUUGUGCGCCCCAGCACCAACCCUCCCCUCCACAGCCUGUGGGGUCCAUGGUCCGGUGGCCUCUGCGGGUACGUGGCUCUAAAGGGAUCUUGGGAGUCCACUACCCCAAGAACAUGCUGCAACUUUGCUUCCUACAGUGGGCCCAGACAGGACCGCCAUCGCUGAAGGAUCUGUCUGCCGCAACCCAUCGACUGAUCCUGCUGUUCCUCCCGGCCUGUGUCAGUUCCCGAUCAAUUUCAAUGUGUGUGAAGUUGGCCACCCAACAUGCAACAUUUGUGAAAAUCCAGGUUUGGGGGGUAACCAGGCUUUGGGGGUAACCAGCUGCUCUGGUUCUCCCAUGCCACCACUUGAUUCUGUGACAACACCUAGUACCUCCUUUCUGUCUAUCUUUACACUGCCAGAAGAAAACAAAAGGUGGGGGGUGAAGAAAAAGGCAAAUAUAGACAAUGUUUGACCUUGAGUAUGUUUUCUUCUGUAUUGUGUUCAUUUUUCUGAAACUAAUACCCAAACUGGAUGACACAAACCUGUUUAGAAUUAUUCUGAUCCACUGUGUGUGUUUGCCUUGUAGACCUUCUGUGCAGCCGUGCAGCCCAAGAGUAAUAAAGAUGUGCAUUUUUUUGUGUA